UCUCCUGUAGCUCAGGGGUAUCUUUCUAGAGCCUCCGACCGGUGUACGGAAGGUCAUAGGUUCUACUCCUAUUGGGAGAU